rnacentral:rRNA from 1 species
UACGUAGGGUGCGAGCGUUAAUCGGAAUUACUGGGCGUAAAGCGUGCGCAGGCGGUUUGCUAAGACAGGUGUGAAAUCCCCGGGCUUAACCUGGGAACUGCGCUUGUGACUGGCAGGUUAGAGUACGGCAGAGGGGGGUGGAAUUCCUGGUGUAGCAGUGAAAUGCGUAGAUAUCAGGAGGAACACCGAUGGCGAAGGCAGCCCCCUGGGCCUGUACUGACGCUCAUGCACGAAGGCGUGGGGAUCAAACAGGAUUAGAUACCCCGGUA